rnacentral:rRNA from 1 species
AAUGUUGGGUUAAGUCCCGCAACGAGCGCAACCCUUAUCCUUUGUUGCCAGCGGUCCGGCCGGGAACUCAAAGGAGACUGCCAGUGAUAAACUGGAGGAAGGUGGGGAUGACGUCAAGUCAUCAUGGCCCUUACGACCAGGGCUACACACGUGCUACAAUGGCGCAUACAAAGAGAAGCGACCUCGCGAGAGCAAGCGGACCUCAUAAAGUGCGUCGUAGUCCGGAUUGGAGUCUGCAACUCGACUCCAUGAAGUCGGAAUCGCUAGUAAUCGUGGAUCAGAAUGCCACGGUGAAUACGUUCCCGGGCCUUGUACACACCGCCCGUCACACCAUGGGAGUGGGUUGCAAAAGAAGUAGGUAGCUUAACCUUCGGGAGGGCGCUUACCACUUUGUGAUUCAUGACUGGGGUGAAGUCGUAACAAGGUAACCGUAGGGGAACCUGCGGUUGGAUCACCUCCUUACCUUAAAGAAGCGUUCUUUGAAGUGCUCACACAGAUUGUCUGAUGAAAAUGAGCAGUAAAACCUCUACAGGCUUGUAGCUCAGGUGGUUAGAGCGCACCCCUGAUAAGGGUGAGGUCGGUGGUUCAAGUCCACUCAGGCCUACCAAAUUUGCACGGCAAAUUUGAAGAGGUUUUAACUACAUGUUAUGGGGCUAUAGCUCAGCUGGGAGAGCGCCUGCUUUGCACGCAGGAGGUCUGCGGUUCGAUCCCGCAUAGCUCCACCAUCUCUGUAGUGAUUAAAUAAAAAAUACUUCAGAGUGUACCUGCAAAGGUUCACUGCGAAGUUUUGCUCUUUAAAAAUCUGGAUCAAGCUGAAAAUUGAAACACUGAACAACGAAAGUUGUUCGUGAGUCUCUCAAAUUNCCCCCUGGACGAAGACUGACGCUCAGGUGCGAAAGCGUGGGGAGCAAACAGGAUUAGAUACCCUGGUAGUCCACGCCGUAAACGAUGUCGACUUGGAGGUUGUGCCCUUGAGGCGUGGCUUCCGGAGCUAACGCGUUAAGUCGACCGCCUGGGGAGUACGGCCGCAAGGUUAAAACUCAAAUGAAUUGACGGGGGCCCGCACAAGCGGUGGAGCAUGUGGUUUAAUUCGAUGCAACGCGAAGAACCUUACCUGGUCUUGACAUCCACGGAAGUUUUCAGAGAUGAGAAUGUGCCUUCGGGAACCGUGAGACAGGUGCUGCAUGGCUGUCGUCAGCUCGUGUUGUGAAAUGUUGGGUUAAGUCCCGCAACGAGCGCAACCCUUAUCCUUUGUUGCCAGCGGUCCGGCCGGGAACUCAAAGGAGACUGCCAGUGAUAAACUGGAGGAAGGUGGGGAUGACGUCAAGUCAUCAUGGCCCUUACGACCAGGGCUACACACGUGCUACAAUGGCGCAUACAAAGAGAAGCGACCUCGCGAGAGCAAGCGGACCUCAUAAAGUGCGUCGUAGUCCGGAUUGGAGUCUGCAACUCGACUCCAUGAAGUCGGAAUCGCUAGUAAUCGUGGAUCAGAAUGCCACGGUGAAUACGUUCCCGGGCCUUGUACACACCGCCCGUCACACCAUGGGAGUGGGUUGCAAAAGAAGUAGGUAGCUUAACCUUCGGGAGGGCGCUUACCACUUUGUGAUUCAUGACUGGGGUGAAGUCGUAACAAGGUAACCGUAGGGGAACCUGCGGUUGGAUCACCU